CUUAAGGACCGGGGCUUCUGCGUGGAGGUGAACACGGCCUUUGAGGACUUCGCCCACGUCAUAAGCUUUGACAAGAGGGCUGCCGCACUGGACGCAGGCAACAUCAAGCUGACCUUCAAUAGUCUGCUGGAGAAAGCAGAGGCACGGGAGAGGGAGCGGGAGAAGGAGGAGGCACGCAGGAUGCGGCGCAGGGAAGCUGCCUUUCGAAGCAUGCUGAGGCAGGCUGUGCCUGCUCUGGAGCUAGGCACUGCCUGGGAAGAGGUCCGUGAGCGUUUUGUGUGUGACUCAGCCUUUGAGCAGAUCACCCUGGAGUCGGAGCGGAUCCGGCUCUUCCGGGAGUUCCUACAGGUGCUGGAGACUGAAUGCCAGCACCUCCACACCAAAGGCCGAAAGCAUGGCAGGAAAGGGCUCUGAGUCAGAAGAAGAGGAGCUGCCCCCACCAUCUCUCCGGCCCCCCAAGCGGAGGAGGCGGAACCCCUCAGAGUCAGGCUCUGAGCCCUCUUCCUCACUUGAUUCAGUUGAAAGUGGGGGUGCUGCCCUUGGAGGACGGGGCUCCCCUUCCUCCCAUCUUCUUGGAGCAGAUCAUGGCCUUCGGAAAGCCAAGAAACCAAAAAAGAAAACUAAGAAGAGAAGACACAAGUCGAAUAGUCCUGAGAGUGAGACAGACCCUGAGGAGAAAGCUGGCAAGGAGAGCGAU
rnacentral:lncRNA from 1 species